GGGAGAGCUGAGGUGCCCCAGGUGAAGGGACAGGCGGCAAUAGCUGGUGGAGAAGGAGGGGAGGUGUACUGGGUAAGGGCUCAUCCUGCGCUGGCAGACUGCCACGUUCCCUAGGAUUCCCACACAGCCGCUCCUGCCUCACCCAUGAGAUCCCUGGUUUUGAUUCUGUUUAGUUGCUGUAGCUGCAGUCAUCUGGGGAGUCUGGGUGUUUCCUAGCUCCAAAGUCAGAGGUUUUAAGAAGGGGCAUGUGCCCCAGCUCCGGGCAGUGGGGCCCCGGAAGCAGUCGGCUGAGGGCUGCUGGGGGACUUUCCCACCAUCCACAAAAGGCUGGACGCUGGAGUGUUCUCUCAGAGCCAGCCUUUGGCUGUCAGUGUGUGGGCAUGUGGCACCAGCAACUGCUGCAGUCGGCUUGUGACCACAAAGGGUCCAACCAGAGGACAAAGGCCAAUAUGCUGAGAAUCCAGAGCAGAAGGAGAAAGAACCUGGGUCUCUGGUGAUGUCCCUGAGCCCCUGAAUUGGUCGGUCCUAGAGCCACCCCCCCUUGGGACUUCCUGGUCACUGGAGAUCAGACAUGCACUUUGAGCAAUUUUGGGUUAGAUCUUUUGUUUCAGCAUCACAGACAUGGUGCAGAGCCCCCAUAUUGAUUAUCUACUACUGCGUAACAAAUUACCCCCAAACUUAGCGACUGAAGAUGACAGACAUUUAUGAUGUCACAGUUUCCGUGGGUCAGGAAUGUGGCGGUGAUGCAAGCGGGUGGUUCUGGCUCAGGCUCUUGGGAGACCGCCCUCAAAAUGUCGCUCAGGACUGAAGUCCUCUGGAGGCUGGCUAGGCCUGGAAGACCCACUUCCGAGCUUGCGGGAGGCCCCAGUUCCCUAUCAGGUGCCUGGAACAUUCAAGAUGUCCUCUCCUCCAUCAGCAUGGGUCCCUGAGGAACCACAGGGACGGGAAGCCACCCCACGCCACAGCCAGCCUGAAGUGGACAUGCAGCACGAUGAGAAAUAAACC
rnacentral:lncRNA from 1 species